UACGUAGGGGGCAAGCGUUAUCCGGAUUUACUGGGUGUAAAGGGAGCGUAGACGGUGCGCCAAGUCUGGAGUGAAAUGCCGCGGCUUAACUGCGGAACUGCUUUGGAAACUGGCGGACUAGAGUGCGGGAGGGGUAAGCGGAAUUCCUAGUGUAGCGGUGAAAUGCGUAGAUAUUAGGAGGAACACCGGUGGCGAAGGCGGCUUACUGGACCGUAACUGACGUUGAGGCUCGAAAGCGUGGGGAGCAA
rnacentral:rRNA from 1 species